rnacentral:rRNA from 1 species
CACGUAGGGCGCGAGCGUUGUCCGGAAUUAUUGGGCGUAAAGAGCUCGUAGGCGGCCUGUUGCGUCCGCUGUGAAAUCCCGGGGCUCAACCCCAGUCCUGCUUCCGAUACGGGUGGACUAGAGGUAGGCAGGGGAGAACGGAAUUCCUGGUGUAGCGGUGAAAUGCGCAGAUAUCAGGAGGAACACCGGUGGCGAAGGCGGUUCUCUGGGCCUUACCUGACGCUGAGGAGCGAAAGCGUGGGGAGCAAACAGG